rnacentral:tRNA from 1 species
GCCUGGGUAGCUCAGUGGUUGAGCGUCUGCCUUUGGCUCAGGUCGUGAUCCUGGAGUCCUGGGAUCAAGUCCCACAUCAGGCU